rnacentral:rRNA from 1 species
AGAGUUUGAUCAUGGCUCAGAUUGAACGCUGGCGGCGUGCCUAACACAUGCAAGUCGAUCGGUAACGCGGGGGCAACCCUGGCGACGAGAGGCGGACGGGUGAGCAACGCUUGGGAAUCUGCCCAUCAGCGGGGGACAACCCGGGGAAACUCGGGCUAAUACCGCAUACGCUCUACGGAGGAAAGCAGGGGACCGCAAGGCCUUGCACUGAUGGAUGAGCCCAAGCCGGAUUAGCUAGUUGGCGGGGUAACGGCCCACCAAGGCGACGAUCCGUAGCUGGUCUGAGAGGACGAUCAGCCACACCGGAACUGAGACACGGUCCGGACUCCUACGGGAGGCAGCAGUGGGGAAUAUUGGACAAUGGGGGAAACCCUGAUCCAGCGACGCCGCGUGGGUGAAGAAGGCCUGCGGGUUGUAAAGCCCUUUCGGUAGGGACGAAAGCUUUCGGCUGAAUAAGCCGAAAGGUUGACUAACCUACAAAAGAAGC